CUGCUCAGGAUGAACGCUGGCGGCGUGCUUAACACAUGCAAGUCGAACGAUGACCUCACUUGUGGGGGGAUUAGUGGCGAACGGGUGAGUAACACGUGAGUAACCUGCCCUUGACUCUGGGAUAAGCCUGGGAAACCGGGUCUAAUACUGGAUACGACCUUCUGGCGCAUGCCAUGUUGGUGGAAAGCUUUUGUGGUUUUGGAUGGACUCGCGGCCUAUCAGCUUGUUGGUGGGGUAAUGGCCUACCAAGGCGACGACGGGUAGCCGGCCUGAGAGGGUGACCGGCCACACUGGGACUGAGACACGGCCCAGACUCCUACGGGAGGCAGCAGUGGGGAAUAUUGCACAAUGGGCGCAAGCCUGAUGCAGCGACGCCGCGUGAGGGAUGAAGGCCUUCGGGUUGUAAACCUCUUUCAGUAGGGAAGAAGCCGGUCUUUUGGGUUGGUGACGGUACCUGCAGAAGAAGCGCCGGCUAACUACGUGCCAGCAGCCGCGGUAAUACGUAGGGCGCAAGCGUUAUCCGGAAUUAUUGGGCGUAAAGAGCUCGUAGGCGGUUUGUCGCGUCUGCCGUGAAAGUCCGGGGCUUAACUCCGGAUCUGCGGUGGGUACGGGCAGACUAGAGUGCAGUAGGGGAGACUGGAAUUCCUGGUGUAGCGGUGAAAUGCGCAGAUAUCAGGAGGAACACCGAUGGCGAAGGCAGGUCUCUGGGCUGUAACUGACGCUGAGGAGCGAAAGCAUGGGGAGCGAACAGGAUUAGAUACCCUGGUAGUACCAUGCCGUAAACGUUGGGCAUCUAGGUGUGGGGGACAUUCCACGUUUUCCGCGCCGUAGCUAACGCAU
rnacentral:rRNA from 1 species